CCUACGGGAGGCAGCAGUGAGGAAUAUUGGUCAAUGGUCGGGAGACUGAACCAGCCAAGCCGCGUGAGGGAUGAAGGUACAGAGUAUCGUAAACCUCUUUUGUCAGGGAACAAAGGCGGGGACGUGUCCCCGGAGGAGUGUACCUGAAGAAAAAGCAUCCGUUAACUCCGUGCAAGCAGCCGCGGUAAUACGGAGGAUGCGGGCGUUAUCCGGGUGUAUGGGGUGUAACGGGUGCGCAGGCGGGCUGUAAAGUCCACGGUCAAAGCCCGGGGCUCAACCCCGGCCCGACGUUGAAACUGGCAGUCUGGAGUGGGAGAGAGGUAUGCGGAAUGCGCGGUGUAGCGGUGAAAUGCAUAGAUAUCGCGCAGAACUCCGAUUGCGAAGGCAGCAUGCCGGCUCCACACUGACGCUGAGGCACGAAAGCGUGGGGAUCGAACAGGAUUAGAUACCCGAGUAGUC
rnacentral:rRNA from 1 species